UGACGGUACCUGACUAAGAAGCACCGGCUAAAUACGUGCCAGCAGCCGCGGUAAUACGUAUGGUGCAAGCGUUAUCCGGAUUUACUGGGUGUAAAGGGAGCGUAGACGGCGAGGCAAGUCUGAAGUGAAAUGCGGGGGCUCAACCCCUGAACUGCUUUGGAAACUGUUUUGCUAGAGUGCAGGAGAGGUAAGUGGAAUUCCUAGUGUAGCGGUGAAAUGCGUAGAUAUUAGGAGGAACACCAGUGGCGAAGGCGGCUUACUGGACUGUAACUGACGCUGAGGUUCGAAAGCGUGGGUAGCAAACAGGAUUAGAUACCCUG
rnacentral:rRNA from 1 species